GGCAGUGAAGGUGAGGGUAUUUCACUGGAGAUCCCUGCAUGUCUGAGACCUUCUGAAGGCAAAACCCAGGAACAGCCUCAAAAUUAUUUCCUGCCAGAAGCAGAGGGUUAAAGAGGGAAGCGAGAAGGAGGAGACGGCGCAGGGCUCAGGGAGCGUGAGAAAACCAACGGCACACAGCAGUUCAGAGCCCCACCUCGCCCAGGGCAGGAGGAGCAGAGCCUACAGCACCCCAGGAAAGUCAGAGACAGCACUGCAGCCCGUGGAGCUGCAGGAAGAGGAGUAAAGCCAUGCACUGAAUUAGCCUGCACAGCAGCCGAUGGGAUCAUGAGAACCAAUGGAGUUUUUCACAGUAUUUUUUCCUUAUGGAAUUUGCCCUCUCAGCCUUCUCUUUCCCAGGCUGAACAGCCCCAGGGCUCUCAGCCCUUCCCCAUAAGGGAGAUGCUAUGCUGGCCACACUCUUUGUGAUGCACCCCAGGGUACCAUUGGCCUUCUUGGCCAUCAGAGCACACUGCAGGCUCAUGGUCAAUGUUAGUCAACCACUGGUCAAUAUGGAUGUGCCCCAGGGCUGCUCCUUCCCUAAGUGCCCAGGACGAAGAGCAUCCUCUGCCUGGACCAGGGAAGCCAGGGGUUAUCCUUAUUCCA
ensembl:lncRNA